UACAGAGGUCUCAAGCGUUGUUCGGAUUCAUUGGGCGUAAAGGGUGCGUAGGCGGCGCGGUAAGUCGGGUGUGAAAUCUCGGGGCUUAACUCCGAAACUGCAUUCGAUACUGCCGUGCUUGAGGACUGGAGAGGAGACUGGAAUUUACGGUGUAGCGGUGAAAUGCGUAGAUAUCGUAAGGAAGACCAGUGGCGAAGGCGGGUCUCUGGACAGUUCCUGACGCUGAGGCACGAAGGCCAGGGGGAGCAAAACGGGAAAUUUAGAAA
rnacentral:rRNA from 1 species